GGAGCGGGAUUCGGCAAAGGAACAUAGUGAACCGGGUCAGGUGGGAAACCAAGCAGCCCUAAACUGUCCCUUUCUUGUGCCGGAUUCCGUUCCGGU
rnacentral:SRP_RNA from 1 species